CUACCGUCCCCGGUAUAUCUCGAAUGUGGAUAUUAUUGCGGCGUGCGCGGUCCUCAUUGUCCGCAAGUUUUGUUUCCAGUUGAUCAAGCUUAACCACCAUGCCGUCCAUUUUACCCGCCAUGGUGUUAUGGGCCUCCUCCAGCUCUGCCAGUUUGUCCUCUGUGGUGGAGGUCCUGGCGCCCAUAUAUUGUAGGUCUUGGCGGAGGUCGGUUAGUGCUGCGUGGAAGUUUGUUAGUAGCUUGGCUGACAUGUCAUCCAGCAUUUGCUAUAGCAGGGUUUUUAUCAGGGUCGGGGCCUGGUCGGCUGUAUCGCCG